rnacentral:rRNA from 1 species
AGCGUGUUGGUGAGGUAAAAGCUCACCAAGGCGACGAUCUGUAGCGGGUCUGAGAGGAUGAUCCGCCACACUGGAACUGAGACACGGUCCAGACUCCUACGGGAGGCAGCAGUGGGGAAUUUUGGACAAUGGGGGCAACCCUGAUCCAGCCAUGCCGCGUGAGUGAAGAAGGCCUUCGGGUUGUAAAGCUCUUUCAGCCGGGAAGAAAACGCAUGGGUUAAUACCCUGUGUGGAUGACGGUACCGGAAUAAGAAGCACCGGCUAACUACGUGCCAGCAGCCGCGGUAAUACGUAGGGUGCGAGCGUUAAUCGGAAUUACUGGGCGUAAAGCGUGCGCAGGCGGUUUUGUAAGACAGGCGUGAAAUCCCCGGGCUUAACCUGGGAACUGCGUUUGUGACUGCAAGGCUAGAGUACGGCAGAGGGGGGUGGAAUUCCACGUGUAGCAGUGAAAUGCGUAGAGAUGUGGAGGAACACCAAUGGCGAAGGCAGCCCCCUGGGUCGAUACUGACGCUCAUGCACGAAAGCGUGGGUAGCAAACAGGAUUAGAUACCCUGGUAGUCCACGCCCUAAACGAUGUCAACUAGGUGUUGGGAGGGUAAAACCUUUUAGUACCGGAGCUAACGCGUGAAGUUGACCGCCUGGGGAGUACGGCCGCAAGGUUAAAACUCAAAGGAAUUGACGGGGACCCGCACAAGCGGUGGAUGAUGUGGAUUAAUUCGAUGCAACGCGAAAAACCUUACCUACCCUUGACAUGCCAAGAACUUUCCAGAGAUGGAUUGGGCCCGAAAGGGAACUUGGACACAGGUGCUGCAUGGCUGUCGUCAGCUCGUGUCGUGAGAUGUUGGGUUAAGUCCCGCAACGAGCGCAACCCUUGUCGUUAAUUGCCAUCAUUUAGUUGGGCACUUUAACGAGACUGCCGGUGACAAACCGGAGGAAGGUGGGGAUGACGUCAAGUCCUCAUGGCCCUUAUGGGUAGGGCUUCACACGUCAUACAAUGGUCGGUACAAAGGGUCGCCAAGCCGCGAGGUGGAGCCAAUCCCAGAAAGCCGAUCGUAGUCCGGAUCGCAGUCUGCAACUCGACUGCGUGAAGUCGGAAUCGCUAGUAAUCGUGGAUCAGAAUGUCACGGUGAAUACGUUCCCGGGUCUUGUACACACCGCCCGUCACACCAUGGGAGCGGGUUCCGCCAGAAGUAGGUAGCCUAACCGCAAGGAGGGCGCUUACCACGGCGGGGUUCGUGACUGGGGUGAAGUCGUAACAAGGUUGCCGUAGGGGAACCUGCGGCUG